rnacentral:rRNA from 1 species
UACGUAGGGUGCGAGCGUUGUCCGGAAUUAUUGGGCGUAAAGGGCUCGUAGGCGGUCUGUCACGUCGGGAGUGAAAACUCAGGGCUUAACCCUGAGCCUGCUUCCUAUACGGGCAGACUAGAGGUAUGCAGGGGAGAACGGAAUUCCUGGUGUAGCGGUGAAAUGCGCAGAUAUCAGGAGGAACACCGGUGGCGAAGGCGGUUCUCUGGGCAUUACCUGACGCUGAGGUGCGAGAGCGUGGGGAGCAAACAGG